rnacentral:miRNA from 2 species
AUGGUAGACCGGUGACGUGCA